GACUGACCGAUAGUGAACCAGUACCGUGAGGGAAAGGCGAAAAGAACCCCGGCGAGGGGAGUGAAAAAGAACCUGAAACCGUGUACGUACAAGCAGUGGGAGCCCCACCACUAAGCCAGUGGUGAACUCCACAUACGCAUCCUUUGCUGAGGAUACGGUUAACGGAGCGAAAGCGACGUUCAACCGCAAAAGAAGCAGAGGGGGCUUAGUGGUGGGGUGACUGCGUACCUUUUGUAUAAUGGGUCAGCGACUUAUAUUCUGUAGCAAGGUUAACCGAAUAGGGGAGCCGGAGGGAAACCGAGUCUUAACCUGGCAGUUC
rnacentral:rRNA from 1 species